CGCGUGCCCCGCGCGGCGGUCACGUGGGGCGGAGAGGGUUGAGGAUGAGGUGGCGGCUGCUCUGGCCGCUGUGGCUGCUGUGCGGCGCCGCGGCAAAGACCCUGCGCGGCGGCUUCGCCAGCGCGGCGGCCCGCCUGGAGCCUGCACGGCCCGUGGCGCGGUUCCAGUUUCACGGUGACCAUGCAGUUCUCUGUGUCAGAAUCAAGAAUGUAGCUGUAGCUGUGACUAAAGCAGCUAGACUUCACCUGUUUCAAGCACAGGAAUGGCAGAAACUGCAGAACGGUAUCCAAGAUCACAGCUGUACAGACAAGUUCUCAAAAGCUCAGCUGACAAUGACUGUGAACCACACAGAGCAAAAUCUGACAGUGUCCCAGAUUCCUUAUCCGGAAACAUGGUAUGUGUUUUAUGUAGACAAGUUUACCUGCGAGGAGAAUUAUUCUGAAUCCGAGGAUAUUCAGUUUGAAAUGGUCUUACUAAACCCAGAUGCAGAAGGGAAUCCAUUAGAUCACUUUAGCGCAGGGGAAUCUGGACUACAUGAAUUCUUUUUCCUGCUUGUCCUAGCAUACUUCGUAACUGCUUGCAUAUAUGCACAGUCCCUAUGGCAAACAAUUAAGAAGCGUGGACCUAUGCAUACUGUAUUAAAGGUGUUGACAAUUGCACUGCUGUUGCAGGCUGGUUCAGCUUUUGCCAACUACCUGCAUUUCUCAAGUUAUUCUAAGGAUGGAAUAGGAGUGCCUUUUAUGGGAAGUCUGGCAGAAUUGUGUGACAUAGUCUCACAGAUACAAAUGCUGUAUUUAUUAUUGAGUCUGUGUAUGGGUUGGACAAUAGGCAGGAUGAAGAAAUCUCAUGGUAGACCUCUUCAGUGGGAUUCCACUCCAACAUCUACUGGCAUCGCUGUAGUAGUUGUUGUUGCACAGAGCUUUUUAUUAAUUUGGGAGCAGUUUGAAGAUGCGAAUCACCACAGCUACCAUUCGCACCAUGGCUUAGCAAGUGGACUGCUUAUUGGCCUCAGAGUGUGCCUAGCUUUGUCACUGGCUGCUAGUCUUUACCAGAUCAUCACAGUGGAGAGAAGCACACUGAAAAGGGAGUUCUACAUCACCUUUGCCAAAGCCUGCAUUCUCUGGUUUUUGUGCCACCCAUGUCUUGCAACCAUUUCUGUAAUAUUCAGAGAAUAUCAAAGAGAAAAGAUUAUUACCAUGGGUGUCAUCCUCUGUCAGUGUAUCUCCAUGGUUAUCCUCUACAGACUUUUUCUAUCUCAUAGUCUAUAUUGGGAAGUAUCUUCACUAUCAUCAGUGACAUUGCCACUAACUGUAUCCUCUGGACAUAAAAAUCGACAUCGCUUCUGAGGUGUUUAGGAAGAACCAUUAUGUAAUAAAUGUGCAAUAAUGACCUAAUAAUAGGUAUUUUUGUCACAAGUGUGUGAUACAUUGGUUUCACUGGAAAACUGAGUGAUAAUAUCAGAGCACUUCAGAGACCUUUGGUCUGACUCAGUCCCUAGGUUAAUCUGUUAAAAGUACCGUGGAGUGGAAAAAUGCGUUAUUUUGAAUAAUUUUAUAAAUAUUGUUUGUGUAGCAUGUGGUGCUGAGCUGUAUCACAGAAAAGUACAACGAGUCUUUUUUCUCCUAUUCACAGCCAUAAAAAACAUCUUUACUUUAUAUCAAUACUAGGUUUGAAGGUCUUAUAAAAUGUAGUUCUUAAAACAUCUUCAAGCUCAAAGAAGUCUGAAAUAGGCCAGUUGUGAAAUUGGUGUGAUGUAUAAUGAUGAGUACAAGUUCUUUUAUUUUCAUGCUUUAGAGAAAAUGCAUUUUUUUUGUAUGGAUAUAGAAGAAAGGGAAACGAGAGAGAAAGAGUUCUCUAGUAAACACAAGUAUAAUGUUCACAACUGACUGCAAGAAACUUUUUCCUUUAUUAUUGGUGUAGAAGAAAAGCCUUUUUUUGCAGCUAAUGUUCAUACUGGUUAAAAUUUUAAUGGGAAUGAAAACAGGGUUUCUAUCUACUUUUUCUGUUCUUAAAUAAAUGUAACUAAAAAUUUCAUCCAGUAAUGAAGGUCUAAACAGUAUUUGAGGCUUAGAAGACAUAGCAACAUAAAGGUAAUUAAAACAGCAGGCUCGCAUUUUUUAAAGAAAAAAAAAAGCAAAGAAAAUGAAAUGGGUGAUGUGGUACUAGAAUUUUAAUCCUGAUAUAAUUCAUUUCUGUUACAUUGAGGAUUCAAUCAUAAUUAAGCCAUAUACACAGAUUAAAUUAACAGAAGCAUUUCAAAUAAAUGUUGGUUUCAGUCAUCAACUACCCAUGAAUUCCUGCCCAAGGAUACUUAAUCAGGAUUAAAUUUUCUAUGAAUAAUUGAAAAACAAAAUACUCACUGGAUUUGUUAUAAUCCAUGUUGGCACUGGGUUCUAAGUAGUUGCCAUCUUCCAUCCAUUGUAAUAAAGCCAUACUACUUUGUGAUGCCCUAGCAUUCAGAAAGCCAGUGUAAAUAUAUACUUUAUUGAAGUGCCUAUUUAUUGAGUAUGAUUAAAUCAUGCUGACAUUUUUUUCUUCAUACUAAGAGCAUACCUAUUGCCAUUGUGACUGAAAUCUUUCAUUUUGGAUUUAGUUUAGUAUUUGUCAAAUUUUAGACUUCUUUUUCACAUAUCUGUGCUUCUCCACAACGUGGAUUUUAUUUUCUAGUAAAAUGAAUGUUUGUUUAUUCUUAACAAUGUGUUUUUAAUUAUGUCCCUAUGCAAACGUGAAGGCACUGAAGUUCCAGCUUUAAAAUAGCCCUAACUUUACCAUUCAGUUUUGCUGCAGUUGCAAGUGUAGUUGAAACAUAAGUCUAUUCCAUUUUAGUUCAGAGGCAAAACUAGACAUUUGCCUUUGACUAAGGCAAAAUGGCAACAUGACAAAGUUGCUCAUUAAAUCAUCUCCUUUCUUAUUGUUUGUAAUUCAGAUCAAGAAUGGCAGGUUGAGGCUGGAAAAGAUGAGAUAUUAUGAUUUCACACAAUCUUCAGAAUGAUUAAAAGAUUAAUUAUUACAUUCCUCUGAUAACCACACAAAAAUAUUAUUGGUUAAAACUUCAGUCUUUAUUUCCCUGCUUAUCUCUGUACUUUUCAUCUUCUCAGGAAAAAAGCAUCCUGUUUUUGAUAAGUCUCCAAUAAUGCCGUAGAAGGUUUCUAUCUGUCCUCAUGUAUAAGACAUGAAAUUCAUGCAUAAAAUAGAAUUUUCCAAUAGACACAAGAAUUACUUUACAGUUUAUGAUCCAUCAUGAUAAAAGUUUUAAUAUGUGUGGAAAAAAAACUGUAUGUGACUUUCAGAAGAGGCACUCUUUAUUUGUUUUAUUCUCCAAAGGGUUUUCUUACUUCCUGUAGUCCCUCUGACUUAAAGCUGUCGGUAUUAAGGGAAAUGGUAUCUUAAUUUCACCUUAUAAAUAUACCCUACAGCAAUUCAUAAAAUGAAUUCAUAUUUAAUCUGAGUGUAAAUAUGAAGCAUAAGAUGUUUUUUAAUCUUUUCCAGAUUGCCCCGUAAGUCAACAGGUAACGUUAUCCACUCUUAGUUUGGCAUCAGAUCCAGCAAUUUGAAAAUAAAAUUUUUAUUUUGUUGUUAAUGUGACUGUAGCAAUUAGGUAUCACUUUUGUAUGGUAAGCAGUACAAAGGACAUGCAUUUCUUUCCAGGUCUGUUAGCGUUAUUUCAUAACCAACACUCACUAGUUUUAUGUUAUUGAAUCAUUAAUGCAUUCUCUAGCAGUAGGUUAGUAUCACUGCAGUGUGUAGUUUAAUUCAGUAAAGGGUGUCUUUGGGGAGAGCCUUCAAGUGUGUCUGAUUUACAACGCUUCAUAUAUAUCCGUACUCUAGCUUGAAGCUUACUGCCUCUGGAUCAUGCCCGAAGAGUGGUUUGAGUAUGUGAAAGCCUAUCUCUGCUUCCUAACUUAUAUCUUCUGUGAGACCAGCUGAUAAGACCUUGCUUUUUUUCAUGUUUGCUCACACAGUUACCCAUUUUAUCAAUUUGGUUUCAUAACCUCAUCUUGAAAGAAUAGCUUCCAGCCUUCUUUCAGUUGUCUUUGAUCAGUGCAUCCUGACUGGAAAACUUUUUUUCAUUCUCUUUUUCUAAAACGUGCUUUCCGUCACACACACACACACACAAAAAAAUGUUUUCUGUCGCAAACUGGGACUCUUUUGUCCAUCUGAGGAACUCAGAUGCGCCGUACAUCAGCUGUGCAGUAGGUGACAGCAGUGGGCGUAAGCAGCCCUUUGAUAUAGCGGUAGCCCUGGUGUGUAAGUGGCAUAGGUUUGUGCCCACUGAAAGCUGCCGCAUACACAGGGAAUUCUCAGUGUGUUCGCCCUGAAGGCAGCACCGUCUCUGCUAACCAUGGUGAACAGAACUCCAGUUGAGGUCAGAUGGCAACAUCACACUUGUGAGGUUUACAUGGUUCUGUUUUAAAUAAAGUUACAGUCACGGAGUAUGCUGUUCCUUCUGCCCACACUUCUCGGCGCUCAGAAAGGUAAGUGUAUAUUGACACAAAUGCCAACUGAAGUUGGUUCUGCUCUGAAAAAUCCAUUUCUAUGUGUGAGAGGGCAUCUGCUUGCCAGCCAUCACCUUUUCCUCUGGGCACAGAUGCCAUUUUCUUUCAAUUAUGAUUUAUUGGUUGGCAGGGAGGAUCCUAGCUCAGGAGAAAUGAGGGUGAGAUCACCGACUUGGUCUAUGAGACCCCCCCCCCACAAACUGUGAGGAGGGAUGUGUUGCUCCUGACCAGUGAUGUGAAGGGUGGAACACAAGUCCUCUAAGCUAUUCACUCCCCUUUCGUGUAGAAUGUGUUUAUUGUACAUUUAUUGAAAGUGCUUCAGGUAGGAAAGGGAAUAUUUGCAAUUAAAUAUAUGUAAAUGGAAGUGGAAAGGCUUGAUUGGAAAAAAAUCAAGUUUCUAAUACAUAUUACUACACUAAGAUCUCCCACACAAGAUGAACAUUUAUAGUCAGAUCUAAUGAAUAUUCCAUUCUGGUUUCUGUGCCAAUGAAGAGCCAUGGAAAUAUCUAAGUCUUUUUGUUUGCACCUUGAUCCUUUACAGAACUGGAAGAAUAUUUUGUUUGAUUUGGCUCUAGUUGAUUAUGCCUCUAGUUGAUACUUUCUAGAGAAUACAAUAAAUGUUUAUUGGGCUUUCCAAAGCUGAUGUUACACUGUAACUUUUAACUCUGGAUUAUACAGCAUACAAAGGGCAGGUGAUCCUUGCAAGUGUCAAAUGUUAAAAGAGAAAGGAUUAUUCUUGAUUAUUCUUUUCUAACCACACUAAUACAAUUAGGCUGUGAUUUUCCAGUGAACACUAAGUCCCGAUUCCAGUUUUUCUUAAAACAUUAUUUUCUGCAAAUCUUUUUCCUGUGUUAUGAAUUCCAUCUCUCCCACCACACUCUGUCCCCUACCCUUUCCUCUCCCCCUCCCACACACAUUUUGAGUGCAAUGGGUGUCAUUUCUAUAUCUCUCCAUCUGUUCCCACGAUCAGCACUCACAGUCCAGCCCCUGCUUUGCAUCUAGUAUGUGUAUUCUCUUUAUCCUUGGUCUGUUUUGAUUUCACGCUUUUCCUGUCUCUCCUUUGCCCUCUCUACCAUGUCUUUAGUCUCCUUAGCCAUCACAGAUCUGAGGGCGUGGUUUGACAUUGCAGCUAAUUUGAGCUAACUCUUGGCUGCCAAAGAGAGAGUGUCCGCAUUCCCCUGGCUGCACGCUACUUUUGCUUCCCUUGAAUUCACGACGGCUGUCACCUAGCAGUUUAGGUGAGGUAGAGUUGAGGAGUUAAACUGAUAGAAAACUCAGUGCAUAGCAGCAGUAGAGAAAAAACAAAUUAGUUCUCAGUGGUUUUGGCUCACUGAAGCAGGUUGUCAGGGUUUUACAAGCACCAGUGGCACUACUGGGUAUGGGGUAGAAAAGGCAUGUUGGAGAGGGGGAAGAUCUCCUUUAGAAGGGCAGCUGCAAGGUCAGUCAGUCUUCUGCAAACUAUCAGUCUUGGAACUCCUCCAUCACUUCUGUAUGUCUUCUGCUGCAUUUUGUGUGCUAAGAAUUGGCCUGACCCUUCUCUUAACAGCUCUCUUUCAAUAGUAGCUCAGGGUUGGGUUUUUUUCUAGCAACAGGAAAACUGAGUGCUUUAAAGUAUUUUAAAACAAACAGGGUCAGUUGUGCCUUUGCAGCUUCACAAAAGGGGCUGAGAGGCAUCGCAGGCAGACCCCCAUUUGAGGAGUUUUGAGGGGAGAAAUGGCAAGCACCGUGAAAACAGCCGUGACUUGAGUGGGUGCCAGUUUUUUAUGAACAGACUGUAGUGCUGUGGUAGAAGGCAACCAGCGAAGUCACACAGCUUUGCCUGCGGGUAGGGAGAGACUGAACCUGAACGACUGCCACCCAAAGAGCGAAGGUUUCCAACAUCCUGUUUCCUCCACUUCCCUGGCGACUACUCAUCUCUAGCCCUCAUGCCAAGGCGAGGAAGCCCCUGCUGCCUCCUGCAAGACCAAGCAAGUGGUGACAAGCUCUCUGGAUGAUGGCCUUUAGGAAUCCCAGCUACCAUGCCAUUGUCACUGAUGUCAUCAGCACAUGAGGAUCAUUGCUGCUUCUCCUCACAAGGAUCGAAUAAGUUGAUCCUUCCUGCCUGCCUCUUUCAUGGGGACAAGGGAUGAGCUCAGCCCCUGAUCUCCAUCCAUUCAAGGCAGAAAGCUAUGCUGGCACUCUGUCGAUGGCCCAAGCCACCCAGGACUGACAACUGGACAAAGCACAAAGCCUUUAUCCAUAACAGGAGAGGAGCUGACAGCUGCCGUCACCCUGAUGUAUUUCUGCAAGGGGGGAACUGACAUGAAAUUACCAGAAUAGCUGACCACCUUCAAAGGAAAAAAAAACAAGAACAAAAAGGAGAAUAUUCUGCUACUUAGUUUGUGAUGUGUAGACUGUGAGUUUCAAUUUCUUAUCUCUGAGGUCUGUUACAGAAACCAAGACAUGCAGUGGUGUGUAUGUACAAAUUGCCCCACUGCAAGUGGCACCGUCACAUCAAACAACAACAAGUUUCUUUGUUGGGGAAGCAGCAAAUCUGGGGCUUCUGUUCUGGAGAUGAAAAUAGGGUGAUAGAACCUGAGCAGAGGGAAAUCACUUCCUGGGCGCAGUAUCCUGCUGGAAUUGUUGCAACUCAUGUAUUAUUCAAAGUCUAGAUUUUGCAGCUAAGUCUUAAAUUAACCUUGAAGUUAUCUGAAAAGUCUCUUCCUCCCCAUCAUGGAUGUGGUUAUCCCCAGCGAGUGCCCUCACGACUUACACAUCUCACCCCAAGUUGGAGGGGUGUUAGAGGGGUCAGAGGGAGGAAACACCAGCCACGUCUUAAGAGGUGGUUUAGGAGUUUAUUCAGGCUAAUUUCACACAGUGGGGACCGUGACUCAUGGGGACUUACCCUUCUCCUCCGCAUUUGGGGUGACCAGGGCAGGUUUCUCUGUGGGGGGCAGUGGGUGCGGGACCCCCCUGGAAAGCGCAGCUCUUCCCUUCUAAGGGGGGGCCCCAGGUGGGGAAGGAGGCUUAGGGACACCCCGGGAUGCUCCGGUUCCCCCCUUGUCGGGGUGAUGCCGCCAGGGGGGGCCCUCGGGCCGCCCCGGGGACUGCGCUCCGGUGGGGUUCGAAGCCCGAAAAGGGAGAAGCCAGCACGGCUCGGCUCCAAAGGAGAGACCCUGCCCGGUACCCGCAUGCCAAGCAGUGCCUCCCGGAGCGGCAGGCGGGGAGCGAGGGCAUCCUCGCGGUGUCUUUGCUUCCCAGCAUCCCUACCCACCUGCAAACUGCAGGGACGACCCUUUCCAUCUCCCUUUUAGCGUGGAGAAAAGCAAAAGGUCUAAAGAAGCCGCGGUAAAACACAGGAGCGACCCCUCCGCAUCCUCUCCCUCCUUCCCAUCCUCUCCCUCCUCCCCAUCCUACCAAGAACGAUGUCCCGCAGGGCUGAGCCCCCCGCAGGGAACAGCCUCUUCGGGCUCCUUUCCCUCUGCUUUUGGGGUUCUGCUGUGAUUGGUUUGGGUUUGGUUUUGUUUCUCAUCCCCUCCAAAUCCACAAUUGUUUUAAUUCACC